AACAUCGCGCACCUGCGGGAACCUGCGGAGGGAUCAUCAUUGCAUGGUUUAUUCUGUCUUGAGGAUUGUUAUGUCAUGGUUGGUGUGCGUGUUCGCAUACACACCAGCACUAUACUACUCACUCACCUUUGUAAUGUACUCUGUUCUAACACAGAAAAAACUAAUACAACUUUCAACAACGGAUCU
rnacentral:misc_RNA from 1 species